rnacentral:rRNA from 1 species
UCGAGAAUUUUUCACAAUGGGCGAAAGCCUGAUGGAGCGACGCCGCGUGGGGGAUGAAUGGCUUCGGCCCGUAAACCCCUGUCAUUUGCGAUCAAACCUGCAGACCUAAUACGUCUGCAGCUGAUAGUAGCGAAAGAGGAAGGGACGGCUAACUCUGUGCCAGCAGCCGCGGUAAUACAGAGGUCCCAAGCGUUGUUCGGAUUCACUGGGCGUAAAGGGUGCGUAGGCGGUGGGGAAAGUUUGGUGUGAAAUCUUCGGGCCCAACCCGGAAACUGCACUAAAAACUUCCUCGCUCGAGGACUGGAGGGGAGACUGGAAUUCUCGGUGUAGCGGUGAAAUGCGUAGAUAUCGAGAGGAACACCUGUGGCGAAGGCGAGUCUCUGGACAGUUUCUGACGCUGAGGCACGAAAGCUAGGGGAGCAAACAG